UGCUGUGGAAUUCCAAUUUAUUUAAUUUUAUAACUUAUUUAAAUAACAAAUAGGAAAUACAGUUUUAUAAAAAAUUCUCAAUGUCUACGAAAUUUAUAACUAUAUACUUUACUAAAUAAUUAAUAACCUCACUUUGCCUCGACUGACAAUUGCAGUGACAAGCAAUAAUAAAGACACAAAAAUGUAAAAGGUGUUCAAUCAAUGUACUGGAAAAGAGAGCGUAUGAUUUUU
rnacentral:lncRNA from 1 species